CCUACGGGAGGCAGCAGGGAGGAAUAUUGGGCAAUGGGGAAACCCUGACCCAGCAACGCCGCGUGAGGGAAGAAGGUUUUCGGAUUGUAAACCUCUGUCCUAUGUGACGAAGAAAGUGACGGUAGCAUAGGAGGAAGCCCCGGCUAACUACGUGCCAGCAGCCGCGGUAAU
rnacentral:rRNA from 1 species